AACAAGGAAGUGUCACCUAUUUGAACUCUGCCAGCCCUUAACCCCCCGGCCUCAAAUUGCCACCAUUAGUCAAUUUCCAUCCAUUUCUCCAACUCCCAAAAAUUUAACCCAAUUAGAUUGAUUUUUGGGAUUACUUGGCUUGAAUUUCUCGAAGUUGGUUGAAAUGGAUGGAAACUGACUACUGGAAGGUGUAUUUGUAUUCUUUAGCAUGUUUCUUUAUAGUUGGUAUCAAUGCACUUCAUAUAUCCAGGUUUUUAAUAGAGAACUGUCUUAGUCCAAAUUUUUCCAAGCAAAUCGACUGGAGGCUCUUCCAAUGAUUCCAAUUCACUAACUCCAUUUUCCACCAGGAAAGACAUGGCCAAACCCCAAGUAAUGUGAACAUCCAAGUGACAGUGCAUUAACCAGACUCCUAUUUAACAAAAAAUUGUACACUUGCUGUGUUUCUGCUAGGUGGAUCAACAAGGUUGAAUUUAGAUGUAUCAGUUUGAGGAUUAAAGUUCCCAAAGCCCUGCGCAAUGAUGUAAAAAUCAUAUCCGUGAAGAUGGAUUGGAUGGUUUUCACCUGUGACGAUGCUUGUUCCCUGUGGGACUGCUGGGAAAUCAGUUGAGAAAAUGCCAGGUAUCCCUUGGUGAUGUGCUUGUAGAAUGGAAAAGUUGGGCGGUAGCACAAAAGACACAUUGUUCAUACUGGCGGUGAAUCGAGUUCCAUUUGGGCCUUGACAGCUGCUGGAGCUUGCACCUGGUUGGAAAUAAUAAACUUAAAUGUUAAAAAUAUGAUUGUCUAUGUUCAUUUAUCUUUUGAGUUAUCCAAUUAAGGUGCGUCUUUUGGGGCAUCCUAGAAUGUUCAGUAGUACUGCUAAUUAGUAGUUCAUGUAACUAGGGGUUUAAAUGUUGAUGUAGUAGCUUAUUGUAUAGCCAUUCGAUAUUCAGACUAAUUCGAAUUUGCACCUCAUAGGGUUCACUAAAGGGGAAACCGCUCCCUUGUCGAAGUUUCUCCAUUUCUCGGAGUUGAACCCAAAAUCUCUAGUUAAGAGCAGAGGAAUUUCAUCCAUGCCACCACACCCCAUGGUUGGUGAUCUAAUAGCUAUAUAUGGCAGUCAUUGAGUCCCACCCCAACCGUGAAGAAGAGAUUUUCGUCAAUUUCAGUUGGCACCUCAACCUUUCUUGGGCUUCUGAAACUAGCUGUGAAGGCAGUGGCAGUUGCAGUGUCAUUAUAUACUGGUAAAGAUGGGAAAACUGGAUUGAUCUUGAUUCCCUGAACAGAGCAAGGAGUAUUCUUGUACUCAAGGAUAGCUGUCGUAGUGGUGUUGUCAAAAGGUGCUCCUUGAGCACUUGCAUAAGCAUGCGCCGCCAUGUAAUAUCUGGCUGGUGGCUGGUUACCAGUGAUUAAGACAUCAGUAGUCUGGCCUGGACCUAACAUAAGCACUGAUGUGGUGAAGGGUUGAACAUAAGAGGCGUCUGCUCCAACAACUGUUAGCUUGUGGUUUGCCACAGUAAAGAAAAGCGCCUGGUUGAGUCCAGCAUUGAUAACUCGAAGGAGGUUUGUUUCACCAGAGUCCACCAGGACUACGGUAGUAUCUGCAUGAAGAGAUCACCUGGUUGACCAUUAAUGGUGUAUGCAUCCGAUGCAUUAGGAGCUGCUCCUGUUCUCGUGGCUUGUCUUACUACGUCCAUAGGAUUUGCAUCCCACCACUCACCUAAUCACAAAAUGCCAUACAAUUACUUCAAUGGGAAACAGCUCAGCUAGUAAGUAUUGAUACACCCUCGAUUCUUUUCAAGUCUUUCGUUUAAAAUGGGAAGAAAUCGGUACCAAGCAGAAUGGGCGUCUCUCUUUUGGGCUUAGGGAAUGGGUAGAAUUCUUCUUCUUUUGGGCGGAUGAUUAAAGCUCCGUAAACAGUGGCCCUGAGCCAUGAGCUGUGGGCGUGCCACCAAAGUGUGCCUUCCUGUCCUUGAAUUGUGAAGCGGUAAGUGUAACUCCCUCCUGGUCUAAUUGGGCAUUGUGUUAUAAAUUCUGGUCCAUCUGCCCAUGCUGUUCUUAUUUGCUUGACUCCAUGCCUUUCCAAAUGCAACAAAGUUGUAAAAACCACACAAAAGGACAACGCUUAUGCAUGAUAUCGUUGUGUUCAGUAUAUGGAUUUAACAUAUGUAUAUAUUGAUAGACGGCAAUGUGAAUUUUCGCACUAUCAAUAUAUGUAUUACAACUUGUCUUUAAUUUUCAAGAUACUACGUCUAGUUUUAUUAGACGAUUACUUAUAAUUAUUGUUUAGAUAACUUGAUAGUAUAACAAGUUGAUAUUGUCUGUGUA